AUUGAACGCUGGCGGCAUGCUUUACACAUGCAAGUCGAACGGUAACAGGCCGCAAGGUGCUGACGAGUGGCGAACGGGUGAGUAAUGCAUCGGAACGUGCCCAGUCGUGGGGGAUAACGCAGCGAAAGCUGUGCUAAUACCGCAUACGAUCUAUGGAUGAAAGCGGGGGACCGUAAGGCCUCGCGCGAUUGGAGCGGCCGAUGUCAGAUUAGGUAGUUGGUGGGGGAAAGGCCCACCAAGCCAACGAUCUGUAGCUGGUCUGAAAGGACGACCAGCCACACUGGGACUGGGAAACGGCCCAGACUCCUACGGGAGGCAGCAGUGGGGAAUUUUGGACAAUGGGCGCAAGCCUGAUCCAGCAAUGCCGCGUGCAGGAAGAAGGCCUUCGGGUUGUAAACUGCUUUUGUACGGAACGAAACGGUCUGGGUUAAUACCCUGGGCUAAUGACGGUACCGUAAGAAUAAGCACCGGCUAACUACGUGCCAGCAGCCGCCGUAAAAC
rnacentral:rRNA from 1 species